ACCGUGAGGUUGGGUCUGAAGGAAGGCUAUGGGAAACCUGUGAGCUGAUGCUUGUAGUCCCGCCGUAGGGGAAUGAGCGGAGCGAAUCGGGGGACAAGAACUACAUAAAAGGCCGACGUACUGAGAUGAGCUGGCUCCACACAGCGAAAUCACUUGGUUCGCCAAGGGAGGUAAAUGCAGUAGUUGCGAGGGA
rnacentral:ncRNA from 1 species